AGUGAACGCUGGCGGUAGGCCUAACACAUGCAAGUCGAACGGCAGCACAGUAAGAGCUUGCUCUUACGGGUGGCGAGUGGCGGACGGGUGAGGAAUACAUCGGAAUCUACUUUUUCGUGGGGGAUAACGUAGGGAAACUUACGCUAAUACCGCAUACGACCUACUGGUGAAAGCAGGGGAUCUUCGGACCUUGCGCGAUUGAAUGAGCCGAUGUCGGAUUAGCUAGUUGGCGGGGUAAAGGCCCACCAAGGCGACGAUCCGUAGCUGGUCUGAGAGGAUGAUCAGCCACACUGGAACUGAGACACGGUCCAGACUCCUACGGGAGGCAGCAGUGGGGAAUAUUGGACAAUGGGCGCAAGCCUGAUCCAGCCAUACCGCGUGGGUGAAGAAGGCCUUCGGGUUGUAAAGCCCUUUUGUUGGGAAAGAAAAGCAGCAGGUUAAUACCCCGCUGUUCUGACGGUGCCCAAAGAAUAAGCACCGGCUAACUUCGUG
rnacentral:rRNA from 1 species